AGGACGAACGCUGGCGGCGUGCUUAACACAUGCAAGUCGAGCGGUAAGGCCCUUUCGGGGGUACACGAGCGGCGAACGGGUGAGUAACACGUGAGUAAUCUGCCCUCCACUUGGGGAUAAGCUUCGGAAACGGGGUCUAAUACCUGAUACGACAACUACCUGCAUGGGUUGGUUGUGGAAAGUUUUUUCGGUGGGGGAUGUGCUCGCGGCCUAUCAGCUUGUUGGUGGGGUAAUGGCCUACCAAGGCUUCGACGGGUAG
rnacentral:rRNA from 1 species